CAGUGGAUUAUCAAACAAAUAUUGCCAUUACAAACGCACACAUUAAGCUUGCCUCUGAAAAGAUUAUUGUAGGUGAUGGUUUUGUGGAAAGUGGAUUGGAGCAAGUAAUUAAAAACAUUAUUGAAGACGAUACAACUUAUAGUUUAG